rnacentral:lncRNA from 1 species
GGGUGGUGGCCAGAAGCCGGCAGGACUGGAAGGGACACCGCAUCUCAGAAGACUCUUCAAGAAAUCACAAUGUCAAACAACACAGACCUUUCUCUCUCUUCAUACGAUGAAGGUCAGGGGUCUAAGUUUAUUCAGAAAGCUAAGGAGACACUGUUCCCCCCCCCCAUUGGAAUGGCAGGCUUUGCAGCAAUUUUUGUGUAUGGGUUACACACGCUGAAGAGUAGGGGAAAUAUGAAGAUGUCCAUUCACUUGAUCCACAUGCGUGUAGCAGCCCAGGGCUUUGUUGUGGGGGCCAUGACUCUUGGUAUGGGCUACUCCAUGUACCAGGAAUUCUGGACCAAGCCUAAGCCUUGGAAGAGCUGCUGUGCUUGCUUUAGUUAGAUGUCUCAUAUUGAGGUUACUUGCUUGUGUUUAUAAUAAAUAACAUGUGGGUUUAGA